GGGCGGGUGGCGAAACUGGUAGACGCACCACACUCAAAAUGUGGCACCAGCGAUGGUAUGCGAGUUCGAUUCUCGCCCCGCCCA
rnacentral:tRNA from 1 species